UAACAAGGAAGAAAAUACAGGACGUGUC
rnacentral:sRNA from 1 species